AUGGAGGAGUCUGCGGGGGGCGCCGCGAGGCAGGCGAAGGAGUCGCUGGAGCUGGCGUUCCAGAUGUCCCAGAUCCUGGACACCGGCCUCGACCGCCACACCCUCUCGCUGCUCAUGGCGCUCUGCGACCGCGGCGCCAACCCGGAGGCUCUCGCCGCCCUGGUCCGCGAGCUGUCCUCCACUGCUCCCCCGUCCGCCGCUGCCCCCACCGCGCCCGCCUCCAACGCCGUGGCGGCACCGACCGCCCCCUCGCUGUUCCCCUCCGGCUUUCGGCAGCUCUAG
rnacentral:rRNA from 1 species